rnacentral:rRNA from 1 species
GAAUAUUGGACAAUGGGGGCAACCCUGAUCCAGCCAUGCCGCGUGAGUGAUGAAGGCCUUAGGGUCGUAAAGCUCUUUCGCCAGAGAUGAUAAUGACAGUAUCUGGUAAAGAAACCCCGGCUAACUCCGUGCCAGCAGCCGCGGUAAUACGGAGGGGGCUAGCGUUGUUCGGAAUUACUGGGCGUAAAGCGCACGUAGGCGGACCGGAAAGUCAGAGGUGAAAUCCCAGGGCUCAACCUUGGAACUGCCUUUGAAACUCCUGGUCUUGAGGUCGAGAGAGGUGAGUGGAAUUCCGAGUGUAGAGGUGAAAUUCGUAGAUAUUCGGAGGAACACCAGUGGCGAAGGCGGCUCACUGGCUCGAUACUGACGCUGAGGUGCGAAAGCGUGGGGAGCAAACAGG